GACGAACGCUGGCGGCGUGCUUAACACAUGCAAGUCGAACGGAAAGGCCUGCUUUCCCUUGUGGAUUGCGGGUACUCGAGUGGCGAACGGGUGAGUAACACGUGAGUGAUCUGCCCCCAACUUGGGUAUAAGCCUGGGAAACUGGGUCUAAUUCCCGAUAGGACUGCAGGGUGGUGCCUGUGGUGGAAAACGAUUUUCUAGUGGUUGGGGAUGAGCUCGCGGCCUAUCAGCUUGUUGGUGGGGUAAUGGCCUACCAAGGCGGCGACGGGUAGCCGGCCUGAGAGGGCGGGCGGCCACAUUGGGACUGCGAUACGGCCAAGAAUACUACGGGAGGCUGCAGUGGGGAAUAUUGCGCAAUGGGCGGAAGCCUGAUGCAGCGACGCCGCGUGGGGGAUGACGGCCGUCGGGUUGUAAACUCCUUUCGACCGCGAGGAAGCCACCUGGUUGGAAGGGUGGUGACGGUAGUGGUAGAAGAAGCACCGGCUAACUACGUG
rnacentral:rRNA from 1 species